AAGAUAGGUAAAAAGGACGAAGAAGUAAAGACGCCAUGGCCGCCAAGACACACCUGUCCAUUUUUAACGAGUCGACCAACGAACGCCUGGGCCACCGUGAGCCUGAGAUGUACGAAUCAUACAUGCACACCAUCAUCUGUGGCAUCAUGACGGUCUUCAGCGCAGUCUGCGUCAUCAUCAUCGUCUACAUAGCCGCGAGCCACCCGAAGC